CAUGGCGUCUGUUCAAGUCAGAGGCGGCCAUUUCUUUUGGAGAUAAGUCUGCCUGCCACUGAGUAGUGCUCCCAGUCUUAAUGACAAAGGCAGACGCAUUCUACUUCACACAGUCAUGAUGGACAAGCUUGAUAUCCUAAUAUGAUUGAGCGGAGAUAAUAAAGAAGAAGAUACAAUUUAUGACACUUUCUAGAGGAUUCUUAUAUACUGGCUUGAAAAGUCGUAUUAAAAGGUUUUGCUUAAAAAUAUUUUAUAUAGGAAAAUAUUUUUCUGACUCCGACAUUGCAAAUUUGUACAAGAAUUUGGCCCUUCAAAAUAUUCCAAUGAUAUUAAUCUGAGCUUUGAAGAAACUUCCUAAGACGACGCACAAUUGAUAAACGAUCUAAUGUACUAAUGAUAAAACUAUGAGAUUUUGAUUAAAAUAGUACCUUUAAAUAGGUACACACAUGAUACGUAAAUAAAUUAUACAUUUUACAUAAACACAAUACAAAGUUUACUAAAUUUAUAUCCUAUUCAACAUGCCGUUGUGUGAAAGUAUGUUCAAAUAUAAAUUAUAAACAUUAUAUAUAUAUAUGUAGUAAUCCCGACCAAGCUGAUGUGGAAUGUACUGGGCAGUCGUGGACGUGGGUGCGUGAUGGGAUUCCCGCACGGGGACAGCAAGGAACAGAGGCAGGUCUAGAUGGUAGCUCCAAGAGGUAGAGGUAGACCACGGACGAAGGCAGUCGAACCACGGGCGCCGCGGAUGCCCAAAGCCUACUUACGGAUAGAAGGGGGGGGGGGUGAGAGAUCCGACCGACCGUAUAACGGCGUCACUCUGAAAAACAACCUUGCCUCAUUUUCUGGGCCCUUUUAUACUGGACCCCCGCAUAUGGCGGAGAGUCCUGAUUGGUUCUUGUAAUCACCGCACUUCCUGGCGGCGUGUUGACGGGGUAAUUAAACUCAUUGUCGUCGUUUGGUCUACGUCUGCCUCUUUGUUUAUUUGUUAUAUCCAUUUUACAAGGUCGAUACAUAUUUUUAUAUAGAUACGGGGUUAUAAUAAAUAUCAGAAGAAGGUUGUGAACUAUCUAACUCAAAAUAUACUACAGAAUGUGUACCCGUUGAUGAAGGUUUGGUUGGGGGAAUGACAUGUAAUGAAUGAUGACCUAACAAACCUAUUAUAAAAAAAUAAAAGAAAUAAUUUGUAUACAAAUUAGUUAAAAUUAUUAUUAAGCUACAAGUUAAAAAGAGAAAGAUGUGUGUAAUGGUGGUGUAUCAAUGAAAUAAAAAUCAAGGUUAUAAAAAUAAAACGCACAAAAUGAUUGAUAAAAGAUUAAGAGAAAGUAUAUAAUGCAAAAUGGUAAAUAUGGUAAAAUGAAUCGUACACUUGAUGAUACACAUGAUCACUUGAUGCAAUGAAGAUGAGUCCCUCGUGAGUUGCAAAUGUCCCAUUGCCCAGUUCAAGCAACAGCUGAGAGAAGCUGCUUCCUCUGUCGCCAAAGAGAUGUGACCGCAUAUUGAUAGUGAGAGAUAACUUAACAAUACUACUCCAAAUAUGAGAGCGUUUAAGGCAUGCAUUCACCUCGUCUGCUCGAGUGCCUUUGGAAAUAACCGGUGAAGUUUGCCGGAAGUCCCCAACAAAAAGAAAUGUCACCCCUCCCAUUAUGAUGUUGUUAUCCCUAAGAUCUUUUAGAGUGCGAUCAAGGGCCUCGAUUGAGCGUCUAUGAGCCAUUGUGCAUUCAUCCCAUAUCAAUAAUGAGCAUUGCUGUAGAAUUUUGGAAGUGGCGGUCUGUUUAGCAAUGUUACAGACUGCUAUUUCAUCAUCAUAGAGAUUCAAAGGUAGCUUAAAUAGGGAAUGUGCUGUUCUGCCGCCAUCAAGGAGUGUAGCGGCGAUUCCAGAAGAAGCAGCAGCACAAACUGCUAAACCCUCUAAGCGCAAUUUGGCUAACAAAAGAUUAAUAAUAAAAGUUUUUCCAGUGCCACCAGGAGCAUCCAAAAAAAAAAGCGUGCCAGCCCCCCUAGAGCGAACACUAUUAAGAAUGGCUUCAUAACAAUAUUUCUGAUCAGGAUUUAAAGAAGAUUCGCGGGUUGAAGCCAAAGUUUCUAGCUCAUGCCUAUCAAAUAUGUCUGAUAAAAAUGAUGCUUCUCUGGGUGGUGAGACAUUUUCAGGAAGAGGCAAACCCAUACAUGCAAUACUUUUACCUGAAAUUGACAGAACAUGUUUAUCAAUUUCCAGUAACGCGGCAUUGAAAACAUCAGCAUUGUAAUCAAGUUCAGGGAUAGUCAUAUCUCGUCGCAUUCGGUGCAAAAUAUCUUCAGACAUACACUCCUUAUGAGCAUGCCACAGCGUAAGUGUAUCAGACAUGUGGCAGAAGAUGAGCAUUGUAGAGAACAAUGCUCUCACCGAUGCUGCAUUACGACAUAUAGAUGCCUCUUUGAGAGUUUCAUUCCAGUGAGAGUCGUCUUCUAGUAAGCCUAAAGCUUUGCAGGCCAUUUGGAAGGUAGUGUGGAUAACUCCUUCAACUGUGCGCAAACUCUGGAAAGAACAUGGCCCUCUAAUAUGGAACAAAAGAAGUCUCAAAUAGUAGCAUUCAGCAUUAGUUGGGUGAACUGUAUAGACGCGGCCAAGAACAUCACUUUUCCGCACACCAGGAUAUCCUUCUACAGGAGUACCCUGCUUUCUGCCUAAAAAUUUAUUGUUGGUCCAGGUAUAGAAAGAAGGAACUUCACAGUAUAAUAGUGUCCUAGCAAAUGUGUCUUGGUUACAAAGCUUAAAAAAUGCUGUCAGAGUUGUAUCUCUUGGAUUUUAAAUAACAUUUUCUGCAUUUGCAGUAGUGAAAUAGACCCUCUGUCCAUUUUCAAGGUGAAGCUAAGUGUACAAUAGGAGGUGAUCUUUCAUGGAUGCUGAAACCCAGAAUCCUCCAAACAGCUUCUGCGGAACUUAUAUAGCGGCCAGACUGAAAUUGGGUAACCUCAUCAAGGUGAUUCAAAGAGAAAACUGCCUGAUCAGUUCCCUUAUCAAUGUAUUUGCACACGUAUUUGAUGGCCUUUACGGAGCUGCAGUAUUCCACAUUUAUAUGGGAAUCAAAAGCACGAAGGAGAACAGAAUUAUAGGGCACAAUCCAGCGAUUGUCAAUUUCAAAAGUAACUCCUCGCAUAUUCACCGAUGAAGUAAGACCACCUUCAGCAGGGCACCGUCUUCGGUAUCGGGGAUAACCAUCUUCUGUUGUCGAAGUUGUCUCACAAAAACCUUUAGGAUAUUUUUGCUACAUUUCCCAUCCUUCAUACAUGGAGAAUUUGUAUUCAGAACCCCACAUGGACCAUGAACCAUUUGUUUCAUGACAAUUGCAUGAAUCUCUGGGUCUAAGUUAAUAUCCGGAAUCUCGGCUUGUAUGACCUCAUCAAUUUGAUUAGGUCUAAUGAUGUUUGUAAGCCAAAGCAGUAAAUGCGCAUGUGGUAGACCACGCUUCUGCCACUCUAUUGUGAACAUAAAACACUUGCAAGGCCCAAAUAGCUCAGCCUUAGUCACUAAAUAGAUAAGUUUUUUUCAUUUUAAGGUGAAAAACACGACUAAUCAAAUCAUAUCUAUCUUUAGCAGAGUUAUUUGAAAAUAAAUGCAUCUGAAUUUCUUUCCAUUGAGGGUUGCAUGUAAAUGUUAUAAAAAGCUGAGGCCCCUUCCAUAGCUACGAACAUAAGUCAUUGCAUCUUGGGUACGCUCAUGCAGAUAACGGGGACCACCAGUAAAUGAUGAUGGCAGUAUGACUAUUUGGCCUAUAUUGGCUAAAUUCUCAUAUGCUCGCAGAGCAUCUUGCAGGUGAAUAUAAAUUUCUGUCCGAAGCUUUUUCUGAUUGCGCCGUAUGAAGGAAAGCCUUUCUGAUUCAACCUUAGCAUACAUAUCAACCCAGAAUUGAUUUGUAAGCAUGCCAUAACGCAGUAGUGAGUUAAAUUCCCCAGCACGAGCCAUCAUUCUGUAAGCAUAAAAAUUCAUGCACGAUACAGUCUUCUGCAUUAUUUCUCUAGUGGAUGGAUUGACUUGAGGUAGCGAAACAGAAUAACCGACCUCACCCCUGCAAAAAAUUAACGGGUAUUGUAGAGGGUCAUAUGCUUGAUGGAUCUCGGAUAUUCUUUGAGUCAAAUUAUUACGACAAUGUAAUACAAUAUCUCUUGGCACAAAUUCCUGACCUACCAUCAGCAGAGCUACUUCAUUGGUCAUGGGCGCAUUGUAGCGACGUUCAUGCUCUUCUGGUGGAAGCUUAUCAGAGUGUAUAAUAACCCGGUAGUCAGCGUGAUUUUGAGGAAGAGUUUCUAAGGCUGCUUUAAAGGAUUGAAUAUAAUGAUUGUGCGCAUGCAAUAAAUCUUGCAAAGAGCGAACUAAAUCUCUGUUCAAGUUUGCUGUCAUGUUGCAACGUGCAGUAACCUGAGACUCAUAAUUAUCGAUAAAGUAUAUCUGCAGGAAUUUGUGCUCACUAUCAGGUUCUGGAAGGAGACUACCAAUUACGUGGUAAACUUGGCCUUGGACUUUGAAAGUAGGCAUAUAACCUUGCUCCACAACUUGUCUAGCACCAAAAGAUGUCAUUUGGAAUAUAGAGUUAUAUCUACGGAUAUGCAGCAAGAAGGACUUCGAUAGAGGAUGUAGGCCAGAGAGCAAAGAUAAAAUAGGCUCUGGAGGGGACUCAAUAGCAGGUAGAGAAACUCUACCUUGUUUACAACAGAGGCCAAAGGGUUCAUCUCUAAAUCUCAAAGCAGAGCAAAACUGGCAUACCCGAGACAUUUGGCCUAUAUCGACAGAUGAAUCAGCUUUAUAAUCAAUAUGGGCAUUAUACUGAAAACCUGAAAAUGGCUUAUGAGUCCAAAGCUGAAUACGCUGAACAGGAACUUGCAUAGUUUGUGUAGCUGCGACGCGGGCUUCAGAAUACCUAAGACGGCGAAGCGCACGACGCGUCUCACUUUGAAGUGGUGUCUGAAUAGCUCUAGCAUUCCGUAAUCUCCUGGAAGCAGCCGUAUUCCUACCAAUUAAAGGUCGGCUGCGGCGAGGCAUAUUUGGAAAAAAAGAUUGAGAUUAAAUACAAAAGCUUAAAAACCAGCAAUUUAUAAACAAAGCAUAAAAAUUUCCUGUCUUCUUGAGGUAAAAAUCAAAAUUCUUAAAUUUUUUCUUCAAAAUAACCUCCAGAUAUGUCAAAAAGAUUUUAAAAAACUAAAAGCAUAAUAUUAAUACUAAAAAAUUAAUGUACAAAACCAGUUAUAAUUAAAAAGCCUCAAAAAUAGACCAACCGUCUGGACACGGCAAUGAAAAAGCAUGCUUUUUUUGAGGUAAAAAAUAGAAAUAAUUUUCUAAAAUACAAAAUACAACCCCUAUAUGUUAAAAAAAAAACUAUAAAUAAUCUAAAUAUAAAAUACUUAAUCAAAUAAAAUAAAAUAUCUUUAAUAAAAUUUUGAAAAAGGACCUCAAAAAGACAAAAAAUGAAAACGUUAAAGAAAUCCCUUGCUUAUUAAAAAAUAUAAAUAACCUAUUUUUUAGAUACAACCCAUAUAUGUAGAAAAUAUAAUAAAUAAACUGUAUUUAAAAGAUAAAAGCAAUAAUUAAAAAAUUCCAUAAGAAAAUUUAAAAAAGGACUUCAAAAUAACCCAUAAUUGAACAUACCAAUAAUUGAACAUACCAAUAAAAUAUCUUGCAUCUUAGUGAAAAAAAUAGAAAUAAUUCAAAAUUUGUUUACAAAACAACCCAUAUAAGUGGAAAACACCAUAAAUAAUCUGUAACUAAAAUAUCUAAACAAUUAAUUAAAAAUUUUGUUAAGGUCCUCAAAAAAGACAUAAAAUUGAGCACAUGAAUGAAAUUUCCAGCUUUUUAGUGAAAAAAAGAGGUCCUCAAAAAAGACAUAAAAUCGAGCACAUGAAUGAAAUUUCUAGCUUUUUAUUGAAAAAAAUAGAAAUAACCCUAAAUUCGUAAAAAAUAAUAUAAAUUACCUUAGUCUUAUAAAAAUACUAACCACGUAAUAAAAUAAAAAAUAAACUUGAUCUCAUCAGUUAACCACGUACUAUACUAACCACGUAAUAAAAUAAAAAAGAAACUUGAUCUCAUCAAGUAAGGCUUCAACUUUUUCCGGUAUAAAAUAUGAAAACUAAAAAAGAAACUUGAUCUCAUCAAGUAAGGCUUCAACUUUUUUCGGUAUAAAAUAUGAAAACUAUAAAAUAAAAGUAUCUUACCAUGUAUAAAAGUUAUUAUUAAAAUUAAAAUAUAUAUAUAUAUAUAUAAAAGAUUAGAACUAAUUUAGCAAGAAGCGGAAAGUAAACACUUUUGAAAGUGUAAAUACUUUUACUCUGUUGAAUUUUUUUGUAUUUUAUCGAUAACAGCAAAGUUAUGUAUUUUAAAGUUAGGAAAAAUAUUUUGAUGUUAAGCAAAACCUGCUCCAUCUCGUUUUACAUAAAUGUUGAAAAUUUGGUCGAAAUUGAUGCAUUGUAACGAAAGUUUUUAGCGAACACCACUUAUGAAAUUUGCAUUUUAUUAAUAUAGAUAUAUAUAUUAUAAAUUAUACAUUUUACAUGAAGGGCCAUAAUGAGGGCCAACAGCCCGAAACACGUCCGUGGUUAGCUUUUCUUGAUUAAUCAAGAAUGGAUAUUUGGCCAAGUCUGGAAUAAUUGAAAAUCAACGAGAAUAGUUGAUAUUUAUUCCGAUAGAUGGGGCAAGCCAUCAGAAACUUUCAGUUGCACGAAAGGAGAUGCCUUUUUUAUAAUUUUACAUAAAUCAGUACAAAGAUUACUAAAUUUGAAAUCCUAUUUAACAUGCCGUUGUGUGAAAGUUGUAUGCUGAAACAUAAUGUAUAGAUAAAACAUAUAUGAAUGAUACAUAAACUCAAUACAAAGUUUAUUAAAUUUGGAAUAAUAUUUAUCAUACCGUGAGUCAAAAGUUGUAUUUGUAAAUAUAAAGUUUGAUAAUUCUGGGAUCUAUUGAAAGGCAGUUACAUCUAUAUUCAACACUGUGAUUAUUAAAAGUAAUAUAUUCUAAACAUAUAACUUAUAAAGAGUGUUUUAUAGUUAUUUGUAAAUAUAGAUAGAAUAUUCUUCCUGAUUUGAAAUUAGACGAAAAACAUGGUGAAGGAAAACGAGUUUCUUUUAUUGAUGCAUAGGUGCAAGCUUUCGGGUGAAACCCUUCAACAGGCAAGCAAUGAAGCGCGACUUAUAAGAACUAUGGUACAAAUGUUAGGAAGAAUAUAUAUCCUUAUAUCUAUAAAAAUGAAAUGCGAAAUCGAUGUUUGUUAUCGCAUCACGCAAAAUCUACUGCCUCAAUCAUUAUGGAAUUUCGCAUGUAGGUAGCUGAAGAUUUCGUUUAACAUAUAGGCUAUUCAAAAAACUACAAAGGUUAAUGUACUUUUUUUAAAAAUUAUUUAACUGAAAUGGAUUAGUUCGCGCCUUUUGCCGCUUGGCGCCGCACUGGUCGCGACGAACUUGAUUGUGAUUGGCUAA